CAGCUUCAUUUCCCCAAAGCAAAAGUUGAAACAAAGGUUUCUUGGUCCACUGCAGGUCCUAACUGACGAUUUAGGUCCAACAUGAUGAUGAAUAUGUUUCAAGAUCUUCUAAACCCUGCACCUUUCCAAUUCAUCAUAAUUUUUUCAACAUAUAAUUUAUCUUACAGAGACAAAAAUUUAAACAUUCAGAUUGAUUUGGUGGAUGUACAAGGUUCGAAGGUUGCUCUGGAGCAUCAAUCUAGACGGGGCAUCCUACAACUGAAAAAACCCAGUGCUCUCUAUUUUGAUCUGUUGAAGAAGCUUCUGUUGUCUUAGCUGCUAGCAUUGAUUGUGGUUUCUUGCUUCCGCCUUCUUGUGGUUGCAGAUUGUUUAGCCCAAGCCAUGCUGGUAGCCAUCAAAAUCUGUCGUAUUUUUGGCUUGUGAUCCUCUCCUGACUUAUAUUUGGGUAUUGUGGAUGGCUUGAUAUGCAAAAAGAGGUUAGGGAUUAACGCUUUAUAGCAAAACAAUGGAGAGUUGAAGCUUCUGAACUGGAAGCUUGAACAAACAAAUUGCCAUGGACACUCUACUCCUCAUCAUGUCUUUGAUUAGUGUCAUUGCCACUGAAUAUGAUUCCGAUUUGUUGGUAUAUAAUUGAUUUUCAGAAGUGAUGUUCUUCUGGUGGUUCUCCAGUG
rnacentral:lncRNA from 1 species